CCGAGUUUACUACUCCCAAACCCCUGUGAACAUACCACUUGUUGCCUCGGCGGAUCAGCCCGCUCCCGGUAAAACGGGACGGCCCGCCAGAGGACCCCUAAACUCUGUUUCUAUAUGUAACUUCUGAGUAAAACCAUAAAUAAAUCA
rnacentral:misc_RNA from 1 species